GAUGAACGCUGGCGGCGUGCUUAACACAUGCAAGUCGAACGUGAGGGGGUACUUGUAUCCCUGAAAGUGGCGGACGGGUGCGUAACACGUAGGAACCUGCCCUGGAGCGGGGGAUAACCACGGGAAACUGUGGCUAAUACCGCAUAAGUUUGGAGUGACGGGAGUGCUGCAAGCAAAAAUUUCGGUGCUCUGGGAGGGGCCUGCGGUCGAUUAGCUAGUUGGUGGGGUAAAGGCCUACCAAGGCGANGAUCGAUAGCUGUUCUGAGAGGAAGACCAGCCACACGGGAACUGAGAAACGGUCCCGACUCCUACGGGGGCAGCAGUGAGGAAUAUUGCACAAUGGGGGAAACCCUGAUGCAGCAACGCCGCGUGAAGGAUGAAGGCUUUCGAGUUGU
rnacentral:rRNA from 1 species